rnacentral:rRNA from 1 species
GCACUGUAGAGAUAAGGGAGUGAGGAGAUAGCGAGGCAGAGAGAGGAAGAGGCGCUCGGGGCAGCAGAGCGAUUCCUUGUUGUUCAUGUCGAUUCCGAGAUCCCCCACCAGUGGAGCUUGAUUUCUCUCUCCUUCCUCUUCGAUUCCCCCCUCCUGCUGUUUGUUGGUCUCUCAAUUUCCCUCUCGAGCGCGUGUUUUUUUGUUCAUUUCUCGGUGCGUAGCUUCUAGGGUUCGUCCUUUGGUGUGUUGGUAGCUUUAGGUGUGGUUAGGUUCCUCAUUUGGGCUGUGCUAGAUGCAAUGCGCAUGUCCUCUAUGGCCUGUGAGUGUCUGUAUGUGCUUUUAAGUCCUGGGUGAUUGAACUGCAGGUUUAGUGUUACUGUAUAUCCCCCUAGUUUCAGUGUUAUGUACCGUAGACUUACUGCAUUUUUUGCCCCAGACUGACUGUAAUCCCUGUAGUUUGGAAUGUCAUAUACUAUGAAUUUGCACUAGUCACUGUGUAAUUCAGCCCAUACUUUCAAUGUAACUCACUCUAUAUUUACUGUGUAUUUUGCCUCAUUUUCAGUGUAAUUCACAGUAUUAUUUCUGUGUUUGUUGCCCCAUUUUCUGUUCCUGUAGUUUUAGUGCUUCUGUUUUCUUUUGCCCCAUUUUCAGUGUAAUUCACUCUAGUUUUACUGUGGUUUUUGCCCCAGUUUCAGUGUAUCAGUGAAAGCACUAGUAUUUUGCCCCAUUUCACUCUAGAUUUACUGUUGUAGUUUCAGUGCAAUUCGCUAGGUCAAAUCUCUAGUAUUUUUUGCCCAAUAAUUAUUGUGUCCUGUUUUCCAGUGUAAUUCAAUCUACAGUUACUGUGUAAUGUAUCCCGGUAGUUUGAGCUCUAGAAUUACUGUGUAAUUUAUCCCGUAGUUUGAGCUCUACAAUUACUGUGUAAUUUGACCUAGAAUUACUGUGUAUUUUUUCUCGAAAUUUCAGUGUAAUCUACAAGUACUGUUAAUUCCAGGGUCCUGUUUCCAGUGUAAUCCGCAAGAAUUACGAUUAUUUACACUGUAAUCCCUUGCUACUGUUGUAGUUCCAGUGUAAUUACUGUGUAUUUCAUCCCAUAUUUUCAGUGUAAUUAUGCUUUUGGGAUUAAUGUGUCCUUGUAGACAAGAAUUAUUUCAUCCCCAUAUUUUCUACCUGCUGUAGAUUCCCUUGUUCUAGACUGUAAUACUCCCUGUUCUUCACUGUGCAUGUGUAGUAGCACUGCCUUCAUCACAGUGUGGUUCUGAAUUUCUAUGUGUUGUAUCUCUGACUUAGACCGUAUUUUCCCCUAGUUUUCAUUUGCUGCAGUUUCAUGCCCGAUGCAUAUUUGUAAUGUAUUUCUGAAGUUCACUGUAUUAUGUUGGUGUGCUGCAUGUAUUGUUAUCUUGUGCUUCUUCACUGUACAUCCCCAAAGUUACACUGUAAUACCCCUUCACUGUAUUAUUGCUGUUAGAUGAUAGUUGUAGGUGGCUGGUCGUGAUUUCCCCUGGUAGCUGAGGUGUGUCUGAAUGUGUUAAAGUAAUC